CAAAUAAAUCACCUCAGCUCAAUUUAACAAUCCAUCAUAACAGCCGGCCCAACCCCAAUAGCCCAAAUAAAAAAUACUUGAGCCCAACUUUUUUACCCCUUUUACACAAAACACGACACAGACAGUACAGCAUACAUACAGUGCAUACACACAGAAAUGACGAGUACAACACCAACAACAUCGACCUCAGCAACACCACGAACAAUGGCGUACAAACCCAGCCGACCAACGUUAACGACAAACCGACCCGCCAACGACCCUAAACCAAACCCGUGACCGGCAACCCGCAAUCAACACGUUCUUUUUCUUUUCGUCACGCGCCUUACGCGUACUUGUAUGGCAAGAGCCUCGUAUCUUCUAGAAACGGUAUAGGUGGCCAGCAAAUCAUUCAAAAAUUCGUUGUAUUGAAGAAUAAUAGUACGAAGUCGCACAUGAUUGGAGAAUUUUCAUUGGUUCGUGAAGGGAAUUCAUCCCUCAAUACUAAUUGGUUGGCCAAUUUUUGGAUUUUCAUCAAGAAAAUUUCAAAAUUCAUACAAGUUGUUGGUAGAAAACACUAUCUUCAGCACGAAUUUAAAUUUCCCCUACCAAAAAAUUUCGAGAUUACCCCCUCGUUUCUUCACUUCCACAUCGGCUAAUUUGAAAGGGAACCCCCAUUUAUUUUUCAAUAUAAAGCUCAUCAUUGAGCUGAAAAUCUAAAAUCUUGAAGGAUGGGGAAAAUACCUUUUGAGUAAAAACAGUCUUGUUUCAUGGUAAAGAGUUUUUUUCAGCACGUUCGUUGACUGAUUGUGGUUUCCGAGUUGACGACGACGUUAUUUUUUGGUGGUUGCGAUUUCGAUGAAAGCCCGAUUCCGAUUUUACUGCUCCAAAAUAGGUAACAUUCUGUUCCAUUUAGUUCUGAUUAUUUCUGCUUCGUCUCGAUAUUCUGCAGUUAUAUUUCGAUGACGUUGUUUGCUGAGAGUAGCUGUAGAUGACCUUGAAGGCCCUAGGUUCGUUUGUUAAAAGUGACUGAUUUCAAAGAACCGAUAGGUCUGAGGUGUUAGUUAUUGCGUUUUCUCUUAUUGUUUUGGUGUUCCGUCAAUGAUUUAGCUUCUUGUCUUGUUUAAGAUUCAAAUGUUAUUCUAAGUAGUUACUCCCGAUAAAUAUUCUGUAUUUAAUCUUUAAUUGAUGCUAUAAUAUAUUGAAUCUGUCAUCCCUCC